GGGGGUACCCCACAAUUUACGGUUUUGGGUAGUUACCUUAAAAUCCAAAAAUAUAUUUUUUGGUUAAAUUUCCCGCUAUUUUCGUAAAUAUUUUCUAUGCACAUAUCAUCAAGGAUCAUUGGAAUGAUGAAGACAUAAAUAUAAUACCAUCUCCAAGUAAAACUUUCAAACUUAAAGUUAGCUGUUUUUUAGGUAGAAAUUUAACGCGUUUUUCU
rnacentral:lncRNA from 1 species